AAUUCGUGGUGUAGCGGUGAAAUGCAUAGAUAUCACGCAGAACUCCAAUUGCGAAGGCAGCUUACUAAACCAUAACUGACACUGAAGCACGAAAGCGUGGGUAUCAAACAGGAUUAGAUACCCUGGUAGUCCACGCAGUAAACGAUGAUUACUAGGAGUUUGCGAUACACAGUAAGCUCUACAGCGAAAGCGUUAAGUAAUCCACCUGGGGAGUACGCCGGCAACGGUGAAACUCAAAGGAAUUGACGGGGGCCCGCACAAGCGGAGGAACAUGUGGUUUAAUUCGAUGAUACGCGAGGAACCUUACCCGGGUUUGAACGUAGUCAGACCGGCCUUGAAAGAGGUCUUCUAGCAAUAGCUGAUUACGAGGUGCUGCAUGGUUGUCGUCAGCUCGUGCCGUGAGGUGUCGGCUUAAGUGCCAUAACGAGCGCAACCCUUAUCACUAGUUACUAACAGGUUAAGCUGAGGACUCUGGUGAGACUGCCAGCGUAAGCUGUGAGGAAGGUGGGGAUGACGUCAAAUCAGCACGGCCCUUACAUCCGGGGCGACACACGUGUUACAAUGGCAUGGACAAAGGGCAGCUACCUGGCGACAGGAUGCUAAUCUCUAAACCAUGUCUCAGUUCGGAUCGGAGUCUGCAACUCGACUCCGUGAAGCUGGAUUCGCUAGUAAUCGCGCAUCAGCCAUGGCGCGGUGAAUACGUUCCCGGGCCUUGUACACACCGCCCGUCAAGCCAUGGGAGCCGGGGGUACCUGAAGUGCGUAACCGCGAGGAUCGCCCUAGGGUAAAACUGGUGACUGGGGCUAAGUCGUAACAAGGUAGCCGUACCGGAAGGUGCGGCUG
rnacentral:rRNA from 1 species